rnacentral:rRNA from 1 species
ACAAAGUUUAACGGCCGCGGUAUCCUGACCGUGCGAAGGUAGCGUAAUCAUUUGUCUUUUAAAUAGAGACCUGUAUGAAUGGCAUAACGAGGGUUUAACUGUCUCCUUCCCCUAGUCAAUGAAAUUGAUCUGCCCGUGCAGAAGCGGACAUAAAUACAUAAGACGAGAAGACCCUAUGGAGCUUUAGACAAAAGAUCAAACAUGUAAAGAAACCAAGUUAACCAAAAGGAACACAAAGGCCACGAAACCCGACGUAAACUGAUCCAAAUGUCUUCGGUUGGGGCGACCAUGGGGGAGAAAAAAGCCCCCACGAGGAACAGGGACUAAUCCCUAAGCCAAGAGAGACAUCUCUAAGCAACAGAAAAUCUGACCAAAAGUGACCCAGAAUACUAAUUCUGAUCAACGAACCAAGUUACCCUAGGGAUAACAGCGCAAUCCUUUCCCAGAGUCCAUAUCGACGAAAGGGUUUACGACCUCGAUGUUGGAUCAGGACAUCCUAAUGGUGCAGCCGCUAU